rnacentral:lncRNA from 1 species
AAUUUUUUGUGACCUACUACUGUGCUUAAAUAGCUAGGUGAUUUUUAAGAUCUUUGCUGAGAAAAAUCAGAGCUUUUGUUACAAAGAAUUCUUUAUUCAGCAGUCUCUGCUUUCUUGGAAGGUAGUAGGAUUUCCUAACCACAUUUAUCCAGAUAAAAAAAUGAGUUAAGUCCCACAAGUGAGAAAACACUUGGUGACAGAUGCUAAUUUCAUGGACCAGUUUGUUUGUUAGGCUGACUUAGGAGUUUCUGGAUUGGAGAAGCAGCGUAUUCUGCCCUCGUCUUUCUCAGGUGUCAAAUUACAGUACCAGUGCAUUAAUUUGAGGAUUCACAACUAUAUUGAUAACCUGACAUUUUUUUUCCUGUAAACCAACAAAUGUAAGCCAAAUAGUCAGAAGUUUGUCUUGGUAAGAGAAGUUUGCCUCUGAAACAUCUGUAUUCCAAGCAUUUUAGGUCUGAUACUAUGCAUCCAUUUUUUAUUUUGCAAUGUUAAUUUUGAACAGGAUGUUUGCCAAUAGAAAAUCUAAAACAAGAGUUUGUGUAUAUGGCAUGAAUUCAAUUAGACAUUG